UAACGCGUGAGGAACCUGCCUCAAAGAGGGGGACAACAGCUGGAAACGACUGCUAAUACCGCAUAAGCCCACGGCUCGGCAUCGAGCAGAGGGAAAAGGAGCGAUCCGCUUUGAGAUGGCCUCGCGUCCGAUUAGCUAGUUGGUGAGGUAACGGCCCACCAAGGCGACGAUCGGUAGCCGGACUGAGAGGUUGAACGGCCACAUUGGGACUGAGACACGGCCCAG
rnacentral:rRNA from 1 species